GGCACUAUGGCCGAGUGGUUUUAAGGCGAUCGCUUGCUAUGAUUCAAUCAAGUAGCGGUUGGGAUUUCCCGCGUGAGUUCGAAUCUCACUGGUGUCG